ensembl:lncRNA
AAAGAAACCCCAACAAUCAGAUGAGCCCCUAUGAACAAGGAUUUGGUGACAGUAGGAAGGAAAACCUCCCUUUAAACAGGAAGUAACCUCCACAGAACCAGGCUCGGGGAGGGGCAGCUAUCUGCGCCGACCAGUCAGGGUUGAGGGGAGGAAGACAGACAAACAAUAUUAAUAACGUUAGCAUAAGAAGAUAGGAAGGCCCCAACCCCGCCUUCCUAAUGUGGGAGCCAACCAAUAGGACCACUCUCUCCAUAACUGGGACCAGUAAGAGCACGAUCAUCACCACCUAACAAGUUGAUGAAUAACUUGGCCCAGAACAUGGAGGUUUUCUUCAGUUAAGAGGCCGCGCAGCAGACCCAUUUGAAGCCAGCGGACCAUCGGGUGAAUUUCUUGAAAAUCUGGACGCUGCAGCAGUUCAAAGACCAGUUCAUCGGCUGGUACCCCUACAACAACAAACAGAGAAAUAGAUUAUUGUUAUCAUUCAUAUGAUGCCAAAACUGUCCACAAAUUUAUGCAAAAUAACUUCAUAGGGAACAUACAAACAUACGCCCACUACACUUAUUACAGUGUGAUUGCUCCUUCAAAUAAAACGCUUUAGUCGAUGAGCAGCAACGUGUAAAUGUCCUCAUGUCAGUGUUUUCCUCAGCCCUCACUCACUGUUGUAAUGCACUAUUAAACUAAUUCAAACUCAAACUUUAGCUGACUGGUUUCAAACUUAUCCAAAGUUAUGACACGGUUCUUAAAAUGCUGUGAAAUCUUUUAGCUCUUUAAAAACGCGGAGUAAAUGUAGAGUAAUCGCCACUGAAUGCUGCGAGGAACGCUGCCAACUGUUAACUGAUCUUUCUCCACCAAUUACAUCCAAAUAUAAUGACGAUGAGAUGAACGUCACAGGUUAACUUUGUAAUUUUCUGACUCUUCAGUGACGUCAUCGACUGAAGCUGCUCUGCUGGUGAAAAAACGUCACGGGUCACUUUGAAACUUUUACAGGUGAAGCAUUUUUUACAAAGUUUUGAAGGUAUUUUAGUGACAGGCUCAUGAUUUCUGUUUCCUGUCUGGCUGAAUUAAAUUAAAUUAAGGAAACUAGAGCGAGUCUUUCAUCAGUAAUUAGUUAUUUUUAACACUUUACUACCUAAAGUGCAUUUUUGGUGCUUUACAUGUUUGCUGAACUGCUUCAUG